UACAGAGGGUGCAAGCGUUAAUCGGAGUUACUGGGCGUAAAGGGCGCGUAGGCGGUCAUGCAAGUGAGAUGUGAAAUCCCCGGGCUUAACCUGGGAACUGCAUUUUAGACUGUGUGACUGGAGUACUGUAGAGGAUAGUGGAAUUUCCGGUGUAGCGGUGAAAUGCGUAGAGAUCGGAAGGAACACCAGUGGCGAAGGCGACUGUCUGGACAGAUACUGACGCUGAGGCGCGAAGGCUAGGGUAGCAAACAGG
rnacentral:rRNA from 1 species